rnacentral:rRNA from 1 species
CCUACGGGUGGCAGCAGUGAGGAAUAUUGGUCAAUGGGCGUAAGCCUGAACCAGCCAAGUCGCGUGAGGGAUGACGGUUCUACGGAUUGUAAACCUCUUUUAUAAGGGAAUAAAGUGCGGCACGUGUGCCGUUUUGUAUGUACUUUAUGAAUAAGGAUCGGCUAACUCCGUGCCAGCAGCCGCGGUAAUACGGAGGAUCCGAGCGUUAUCCGGAUUUAUUGGGUUUAAAGGGUGCGUAGACGGGUUGUUAAGUCAGUGGUGAAAGUUUGUGGCUCAACUGUAAAAUUGCAGUUGAUACUGGGAGUCUUGAGUAUAUUUGAGGCAGGCGGAAUGCGUGGUGUAGCGGUGAAAUGCUUAGAUAUCACGAAGAACCCCGAUUGCGAAGGCAGCCUGCCAAGCCGCCACUGACACUGAUGCACGAAAGUGUGGGGAUCAAACAGGAUUAGAUACCCUUGUAGUC